rnacentral:rRNA from 1 species
GGCGGACGGGUGAGUAACGCGUGGGUAACCGUGCCUCAUACAGGGGGAUAACAGUUGGAAACGGACUGCUAAUACCGCAUAAGCGCACAGUACCGCAUGGUACGGUGUGAAAAACUCCGGUGGUAUGAGAUGGACCCGCGUCUGAUUAGGUAGUUGGUGGGGUAACGGCCUACCAAGCCGACGAUCAGUAGCCGACCUGAGAGGGUGACCGGCCACAUUGGGACUGAGACACGGCCCAA